AUUGUGAACUGUGCAUGUAAGGGAUGUAGGUUGUACACUAUUUAUGAGAAUCUAAUGCCUUAGGAUCUGUCACUGCCUCUCAUCACCCCCAGGUGGGAACAUUUAGUUGCAGGAAAACAAUCCCAGUGCUCUCACUGAUUCUACAAUAUGCAUUGUUACUGUAAGCAAAUAGGUGUGAGACCCCAAGCCAGGAGAGACCCAUGACCUCAGGUGCCAUCAGGAGAACUUAAACCUGAAGAAGGGAUCAGCUCUCCCACAACCCAGUGCCCCUCCCAGACAGCACAACAGAAUCUAAGGGGCUACAGGACGAUUCCAGGAACAGUGCACUACAGGACCACAUUGCAGGAAUCGUGCCUUGGAUUCACCACAGUUGGCUGAAACUGGUAGCCCAGGACAAGUGGACCAGCCAGCAGGACCCAGGCCAUCCAACCCAGCUGAUCCUAUGAUGGGACCGAGGUGCCAAUGAAGACUACAACAGCCCUGCUCUGGUCACUUCGGAAGCUGACCAGUCUACACACGGCGGAAGCUUGAGGAAACAACAGCCCUGCUCUAGUCACCCCAGAAGCUGACUCGUCUAUGUACGGCCAAAGCUCAAGGCAUCAUCAGGAAAGUAAAAGUGGUUAGAAAUCUUACGUCUGGAAACUUUCCUUGUAAUAUUAAUUGUUUUACUAUUGUCCUGUUGCUUUGCUCAACCUCCUCCUCUAGGAAAGGACCUCUUCUCUCCAUGCUAGGUAUAAAUAUGUUAUUCAUUACUUUUGCUAUUCCCCUUAACCAUGUUAAAGGGAGAAUCCUUAGAAGGAUGCCCCCACUGCACUGACAAUACGUAGACAGGAAACACCAUGACUAGAACCCUGUUCUACCACUUAUUAUAGGUAUGCAGGGACCCAUUGAGGAACUUGUACACACAACCAGAUAACCUACUCAAUCUGCAACCCAGGAAGUGGCCAGCCUUAUAUAUGUUAUGACCCAAAGUCCUUACCUAGAACCUAGUUGGAGGUUCAUGUCAGGUCAAAAGAAAUAAAAGGAGAAUAACCAUAAAGAAUUAAAGAUAAUGAAUGGCCACCUGAAAGAAUAAUGCAAUACUAUGGCCCAGCCACAUGGGCAGAUGGAUCAUGGAGAUACCACACCCCUAUUUACAUGCUAAAUCACAUCAUAUGGUUGCAGGCAGUACUGGAGAUCAUUACAAAUGAUACUGCAAGAGCCUUAAAUUUGCUGGCUCGGAAAUCUACAGAAAUGAGAAAUGCCGUUUAUCAAAAUAGACUGGCUUUAGACUACCUCCUAGCCAAAGAGGGAGGAGUAUGUAGAAAGUUCAGCCUAACUAAUUGCUGUCUAAAAAUCGAUGACAAUGGAAAGGUCGUCAAACAAAAAGCUGCAAGAAUUCAAAAAUUAGCCCAUAUUCCAGUCAAGACUUGGAAAGGAUGGUCUCCAGAUUCCCUCUUCAGGGGUUAGUUCUCAUCCCUUGGAGAAUUUAAAACCUUAGUAAGAAUAGUUCUAGCCAUAUUAGGAGUCUGCCUCAUACUCCCUUGUCUCUUACCCCUCCUUGUCAAAAACAUCUAAACGGCCACAGAGGCUCUUGUAACCAGGCAAACUACUACACAACUAAUGGCCCUAACUAAAUAUCAGCCUUUGCCAAAUGAAGAAAACUUGCCUUUUCAUGAAAAAUUAAGUCAUAGUGAUGCUUUCUAUUAAACGUCAUUUAUAAAAAGCAUCAAAAGGGAAAAUGAAGUAGAGGAUGUAAAGAAAACUAGUCCUUAUCCCCUCUCCUCCCUUAGAGCAAUGAUGGGAAAAACAAUUUUUCCUCCUCUCCUAGCUUCCUCCUCCCCUUAGUAAUCCUUCCUUAGUGAAACUCAAGGUUACUUCACAACAACUCCGGUUUCUCUGUUCUGGAUAACAUGACAAGGUCACAAGUCGAGCUUGAGUAAGACAUGUACCAGCUGCAAGGCCUGCUUUAGUUUGAUAAAUUCAUGUUUCCCUUCCAAUGAAGCUGCAAGGUCAGCAUAACCUGUCACUGUUUGAUUAACUGCCUCUGUUCUGCUUCUGUGAGCCUGCUUACUUGCACCACGAGCUUUGCGCCACUAGAUGGCCCAUGCAUGUAUAAAAGACAAGCCCUGUCUUAGUCCAGGGCUCAGCUUUUUGGAUGCGAAUCCAUUGUGCCAGGGUGCACCUUAAUAAAAUCCUCCAGUUUCACCU
rnacentral:lncRNA from 1 species